ACAUCAUUACUUUAUAAAGAAAAGUCUCUUGUUGCAAAUAAGCAUUAUUGAAAAUACAGGUGCAAUAAAUAAAGCUGAAGUGAGAGCAGAUUUUAUUGUACAACCAAACCAACAUGUUUAUUGCCAUAUAUGCUGUUUUCUUCUCUUUGGUCACAGAAGCUGUUCUGGGAGUGACACUGGAGCAAAAAGAACUCUUAUGGACAAAAGAGGAGAUUAAAACUGUGUACAUCAGCUGUAAAGUGACCGGAUUAUCCAGUAGCAAUUAUGUUCACUGGUACCAAAAGAAAGACGGUGAAGUUCUCAAAAGAAUCCUAUAUGUCAAAAGUGGAGGCUCACCGGUUCAGGAUCCUAACCAUCCUGAAGCAAAGGACUUCAGUGUGAGGAUACAGUCUGGUAAUUACGAUCUGAAGAUAGCAAGCCUGAAGAAAAGUCACUCAGCAGUGUAUUACUGUGCCAGCUGGGACUCAAGUGGCCACGGUGACAGUAACUAUUCACUGCGUGUACAAAAACCAAGCACAACAGGAAAUUGUAUUCACAGGCAACGGUAUGAAGUGUGACAACAUGAACACAUAGAUGUUAAACUCUGCAGGUGUUUUAAAUUUAUCCAAAUGAUUAACCCCUUCUGCACCAGGGUCUGUAUUAUGGCUGACCCUGUGGUGUUGACCCCAAACUCCAAAAGUUGGGAUAUACAGUAUGAAGAAAGAUUUUUGGAAUGUAUGAAAUACAUUUUUUGAGACGCAGCUAGAAGCGAUACCACAUCAGUAUAACCACGUCAAUGUUAAAGUAUUCAUGAACAUAUAUAAUACCAAAUAGGCUUAGAGCAGAUUGUCCUCAGAGCAACAAGCUUCAACAGGAUUGUUUCUAUAUACACACAAAAGUGUUCCUCAAAUUCUCUCCUUUUCUUAAAAACUUUAAAGCACACAACAUACAAAAAAACUGGUGGACUAAGUCAAUGGGCAAAACAUUUAAACAGGGUUUUCAUUCAGUAAUAAAGAAAUAAGAAAUACAUGAAGU